GAGACGCUGGCGGCGUGCCUAACACAUGCAAGUCGAGCGGAGUCGAUCGACGGAAGCCUUCGGGCGGAAGAUGGUUGACUUAGCGGCGGAUGGGUGAGUAACGCGUGGGCAACCUGCCUCGAAGACCGGGAUAACAGCCCGAAAGGGCUGCUAAUACCGGAUGUGGUCAAGGAUCCGCAUGGAUUUUGAUUAAAGGGGAAACCCGUUUCGAGAUGGGCCCGCGUCCUAUCAGCUAGUUGGUGAGGUAAAAGCUCACCAAGGCGACGACGGGUAGCCGGCCUGAGAGGGUGACCGGCCACACUGGAACUGAGACACGGUCCAGACUCCUACGGGGGGCAGCAGUGGGGAAUCUUCCACAAUGGGCGAAAGCCUGAUGGAGCGACGCCGCGUGAGCGAAGAAGGCCUUCGGGUUGUAAAGCUCUGUCUGGAGGGACGAAGGAAGUGACGGUACCUCCGGAGGAAGCCACGGCUAACUACGUG
rnacentral:rRNA from 1 species